UGUCAAGGGUACCUCUAGAUGCAUCUGUC
rnacentral:piRNA from 1 species